rnacentral:ncRNA from 1 species
UUCUUUGGGGCGGGGCGAAAUUCCCCACCGGCAGUACAGUCUGCGAGCCUUUUUGGUUGACAAGGUGAAAUUCCUUGACCGACGGUAAAGUCCGGACGGGAAAAGAG